GGGCAGAUACCCAAGUGGCCAAAGGGGACUGACUGUAAAUCAGUUGGCUCAGCCUUCGGAGGUUCGAAUCCUUCUCUGCCCA
rnacentral:tRNA from 1 species